rnacentral:lncRNA from 1 species
AUGGAGCCCGUGCGAGAACCCGUGCGAGGCCCCACGCUGGCAUCCCGCGACCUCGGGCCGCCCUUGGGAGACGGGGGGGGACGUGCAAGGGGGGGGGGGGGGUGCAGAGACACUGCAACGUGCAAGGAUUGUGCAAGCGCCACCCAAAAGCGCAGCCACAUCGCAGCUUGCAAGGACCCACGUCAGUGCAUGGACUCACAUCGGUGCAAGGACCCAGGUCAGUGCAAGGCCCCGUGUCGGUGCAAGGCCAUUGCAACGUGCAAAGACACAAGGUGGUGCAGAGACGUUGCAAUGUGCAAGGACACCAGGCCGUGCAAGGGCCACCCGAAAGCGCAGCCACAUCGCAGCUUGCAAGAGCCCACAUUGGUGCAUGGACCCGUGUCUGCGCAAGGACCCCCAUCGGUGCACGGCCCCACGUUGGUGCAAGGACAUUGCAACGUGCAAAGACCCCAGGCCGUGCAAGGGCCACCCGAAAGCGCAGCCACAUCGCAGCUUGCAAGGACCCGUGUUGGUGCAAGAACCCGCGUCCGUGCGGGAACCCCCGUGUUGGUGCAAGGACCCCCGUGUCCGUGCAAGAACCCAUGCCCAUGCAAGAACUCCUGUGCCGGUGCAAGGACCCGUGCUGGUGCACGGACCCCCGUGUCCAUGCAAGGACCUGCAUCCGUGCAAGGACCCGUGUUGGUGCAAGAACCCCCAUGCUGGUGCAAGAACCUGUGUCCGUGCAAGGACCCGUGUCUGUGCAAGGACCCCCAUGCCCGUGCAAGAACUCCUGUGCUGGUGCAAGGACCCGUGUUGGUGCAAGAACCUGCAUUGAUGCAAGAACCCGCGUCCGUGCGAGACCCCCCACACCAGUGCAAGGACCCCUGCACCGGUGCAAGGACCCGCGUCCAUGCAAGGACCCGUGUUGGUGCAAGAACCUGUGUCGGUGCAAGGACCCGCAUUGAUACAAGAACCCGCAUCCGUGCAAGAACCCCUGCACCAGUGCAAGGACCCAUGUUGGUGCAAGGACCCCCGCGCUGGUGCAAGGACCUGUGUCCAUGCAAGAACCCCUGCAUUGGUGCAAGGACCCCCAUGCUGGUGCAAGGACCCGUGUCCAUGCAAGAACCCCCGCAUUGGUGCAAGGACCCCUGUGCCGGUGCAAGGACCCAUGUCCAUGCAAGAACCCCCACGUUGGUGCACGGCCCCCCCCCCAACCCCGCGCGCCCGUGCAAGGAGCCCCGCGCGCACGUGCGCCCGCGCCCUCGCCUCACCUUGCUCGCAGAAGGGCCCG